GGUGAUUGUAGGGGUAUUGUAAAAUCCUGACUAUUGAAAAACAAAUAAAAGAUAAAAAAAAAAAAGAUUCUGCAGGUAACUGAGGGUCUGGAUUGUCAUUUUUCUUUCUUGUAGUAUUUUGCCCUAUUUAAACAAAAAAAAAAUGUAUUAUUUAUCUUCUUUAACUGAUUCUUCAUGUUUUAUAUAUAAGAACCUUAUUUUGCUCUAUUUUUAGCUCACCUGGCCCAAAGGGCCAAGUAAGCUUUUCUCAUCACUUUGCGUCCGUC
rnacentral:lncRNA from 1 species